GACGAACGCUGGCGGCGUGCCUAAUACAUGCAAGUCGAGCGCAGGAAACCGUCAGAACCCUUCGGGGGGACGACGGUGGAAUGAGCGGCGGACGGGUGAGUAACGCGUAGGCAACCUGCCCUUUGCAGAGGGAUAGCAACGGGAAACUGUUAUUAAAACCUCAUAAUACCGACAUGUCAAAUGACAAGACGGUCAAAGAUUUAUCGGCAAAGGAUGGGCCUGCGUCUGAUUAGUUAGUUGGUAGGGUAACGGCCUACCAAGGCAGCGAUCAGUAGCCGACCUGAGAGGGUGAUCGGCCACAUUGGAACUGAGACACGGUCCAAACUCCUACGGGAGGCAGCAGUGGGGAAUAUUGCACAAUGGGCGAAAGCCUGAUGCAGCAACGCCGCGUGAAGGAUGAAGGCCUUUGGGUCGUAAACUUCUGUCUUUGGGGAAGAAAAAAAUGACGGUACCCCUGGAGGAAGUCCCGGCUAACUACGUGCCAGCAGCCGCCGUAA
rnacentral:rRNA from 1 species